UACGGGGGGGGGCAAGCGUUGUUCGGAAUUACUGGGCGUAAAGGGCUGGUAGGCGGCCAACUAAGUCCGACGUGAAAUCCCAAGGCUUAACCUUGGAACUGCGUCGGAUACUGGAUGGCUUGAAUUCGGGAGAGGGAUGCGGAAUUCCAGGUGUAGCGGUGAAAUGCGUAGAUAUCUGGAGGAACACCGGUGGCGAAGGCGGCAUCCUGGACCAACACUGACGCUGAGGAGCGAAAGCCAGGGGAGCAAAACGGG
rnacentral:rRNA from 1 species